GUUAAUCGGAAUUACUGGGCGUAAAGCGCGCGUAGGCGGUUUGCUAAGUCAGAUGUGAAAUCCCCGGGCUCAACCUGGGAAUGGCAUUUGAGACUGGCAGGCUAGAAUGUGGUAGAGGUGAGUGGAAUUUCAGGUGUAGCGGUGAAAUGCGUAGAGAUCUGAAGGAACAUCAGUGGCGAAGGCGACUCACUGGGCCAUUAUUGACGCUGAGGUGCGAAAGCGUGGGUAGCAAACAGGAUUAGAUACCCUGGUAGUCCACGCCCUAAACGAUGUCAACUAGGUGUAUGGAGAAUUUAUUCUUUGUGUAUCGAAGCUAACGCGAUAAGUUGACCGCCUGGGGAGUACGGUCGCAAGACUAAAACUCAAAUGAAUUGACGGGGGCCCGCACAAGCGGUGGAGCAUGUGGUUUAAUUCGAUGCAACGCGAAGAACCUUACCUGGCCUUGACAUGCACGGAACCAACCAGAGAUGGAUGGGUGCCUUCGGGAACCGUACACAGGUGCUGCAUGGCUGUCGCCAGCUCGUGUCGUGAGAUGUUUGGUUAAGUCCCGCAACGAGCGCAACCCCUGUCCUUAGUUUGCCAUCAUUUAAGUUG
rnacentral:rRNA from 1 species